rnacentral:lncRNA from 1 species
AGACAUAAGGAGGUGGGGGUGGGGGUGAGGGUGGUGGUGGGGAUUUAUAUACAUAAGGUGGGGGUGGUGAUGGUAAUGGUGGUGGAGGAGACUUGUAGAUGUAUGGAGGAGGUGGAGGAGAUGGAGAAGGUGGUGGUGGGGACUUGUAGACAUAAGGCGGAGGAGGAGAUGGUGAAGGUGGUGGUGGGGACUUGUAGAUAUAAGGCGGAGGAUGUGAUGGUGAAGGUGGUGGUGGUGGUGGGGACUUGUUAUCACAAGGUGGAGUAGGUGAUGCAUGGGACGGAGGUGGCGGUGAUUUAUAGAUAUAAGAUGGAGGUGGAGGUGACUUGGGUGGUGGUGAGUUAUAAUAAUAAAGAGGUGGUGGUGAUUUGUAGUAGUAGUACGUAGAUGGAGGGGAAGACUUGUAAUGGUAUGGAUUGGGUGACUUGUAAAUGUAGGGUGGCGGAGGUGGUGAAGCAUGAGUGUAUGGCUUGUAGUCAGCUGCCACAUGAGUUGCCAACAAACAUAAUGCCAAAGCAAAAACUAGAUGGGGCCAAAUAUUGGCCAUUUUUGGCUGAAUUUGAUCACUCGUAAAUCCCAACGAAAUAAUUGGGGUCUUUAUGGCUUGGAGAUUAGAGGACUAUCCGUUUUGAUUUGGAUGAGUACAAUAGAGAAGCGUGCUGUUUAUAUAGUGAUAGUUUCGAGCUUUAAAGCCAUUUUUUAAUGAAGCAUGGAGCUUCCUCCAUACACGUCUAAUAUUUUUGUACCUUUUUUUUUUAUUAUAUAUAUCAAGUGUAUUGACAUAAUGGGAUCCCACCAAGCCUUUGCAUGUCUCUUUUGUGCAAACACCUUGAAAUCGUCAAGUUUAUAUUCUAGAAGUCAUAACGAAUCAAUUAAAAAGUAGGUAAAAAUUUCAUCCAAUUAUUGAGCAAAUUGCAAGAACAAGGGGUUCUUGAGAAACUUUCCAUCGUCAGUUGGUAGCUCAUAAAAUUGGCUGGUCAUUUAAAAACCAAUUGAGCCGUUAAAGCCCGCUCUGGAUUGCAAUUUCAACUCGCAGCCAUCUGAUCAUUUCUUAUUAAAUUAUGCAGAACAAUUAUUAUUUCACCGUCCCCAAAUAUUAGGGAAUGACUGCAAGAGAAAGGCACUUGCCCACACUUCUGCCAUUAAUAUAAUAUUGUUUCUUCGACUUUUCUCGUUCUGUUUGUUUUUGUUUGUUUUGUUUUGUUGGAUUUUAUUUUUUCAUGCUUUUGGUUUAUUUUUCAGGUAGAGGUCUCAUCUAAUUCCUCACUUUAUCUGUGGUUUUAAUAAAAAAAAAGGAAAAGAAAAUCCUUUCGUUUAAUUUAGAUUAAAGCUAAAAUCUUAUAUAUGUUUACAUAGAAUGUUUGUUUACAUUAUAGCUGAAAAAAAUAAAAAAAUAAAAAAAUCUGAGCCAGGUUAAAACUAUACUUACAGACGUGGAGAGAAGAUUUAGUUACCAAUUACGCGAAACAAAAUAUAAAAGUAAAUAAAAAAAUCGUACAUGAAAACGCGUGUCAACAAUAUGACCUUCUGGUUAACAGCCGAGUUCCUCUUUGUUAUAUGUAUUUUAAUUUCUUACUAAAGCUUCUUUAGAUAGUUUUACUCAUAGAUCAAGACAUCACGCGUACAUUUGGUGAAAGUUAUAAGCAGGAAUAUUCAGGAUAGAUAAUUUUAUUACACAUAUGUCCAAAGUUAUUUAAUAAGGGAUCGGAAGUGAAACAGUCAAAAGCAUCUUCUAAUUUGUUGCAGUAUAUAUAUACAUAGGCAAUUCAUAUCUUACAUGCAUGUAAGAUACAUGCUCCUCACAUAAAUAGUGUGUGAGCCCCACACAUACACUAUUUAUGUGAGGGGAAUAUAUCUUACAUGCAUGUAAGAUAGAGCAUAUACAUAAAGCUAAUGUCAAUGUGUUUGUUCUCUUUCUAAUUUUUUUUUUCUUUUUUAAAUGAUGAGAUGACUGCUGAUUAAGAUGAGAAGUUUAAAUUCGUGAACUACAGGAGAACUCCUAUAAACAAAUGGUUGACGAAUAAUUAAUUCACUUAAACAAUAAAUAAAAUGUUUCGAUUUUAAUUUGGGGUUGUAUAUUAAAUUAAUAAUUUUUCAAAUUCUUUAGGCCCAACGAAUAUAUAAAUUAAUUGUUAACUAAAUACAUUAAACAAACAAGUGUAAAAGGUCCUCAACAAUUUAUAUGAAUUUUAUUAUUGACCCAAGGAGUUUUAUAAACCUUGAUUUUGACGAUAACAAUAACAAACAAUAUGGUAAGGGUAAUAACAAAAAAAAAAAAAAACACUUUUAGAUCUCAUUAGUUCUUGAAUGUCAAAAUUCAUUCAUGUAAAAUCAAGUUCAAAGAAAUCACGGACAUGCUCAUCAAGACAAAACUCAAAUGUGAAGAACACUGGCUUAAGUGAUAUUUCAUUUACAUAAUUAUUGUAAAGCUAGUUUGUUGGAUUUAUGCAUUAUUAAGUAUUUAAAGCUCAAAUUUGAUAAUAAUCAUCACAUUCAAAUCUGUCUUUUUUUUAUAAGUUAUAUUUUCUAUCCUUGAAGAAAAUCAAAAGCUAAAUGUUUUAUCAAAAUUAAUUUCUUCGAGGUAUAAGGAUUUAUUUGAAAAAUCUUAAAAAAAAUUUAUGUAUCAAAAAAGCUAGAGAGUUUUGUGGUCUUAAUGCUAUUUCUUAAAAUCUUGAAAAAAGAUCUAUUUGAUAAUACUUCAAAACUUUUUGGGCUCUGUUGUCAUUAUAGAAAAAGUUUGGGAACAACAUGGACCAGAAUGCUAAACUUUUAAAAUUGGGAAAAGCCCAAAGCCAGCCGAUUAUAGAGCAGCUAACCGGUUUAUUUUAUAGAGACAAACCAGAGAUCUGUUAGACCUAGUUUGUUUAAAAGCCCCCAACGCAACUUAUCAUAUCAGCAAAGUGGUUUGCCGAUUGUACAUAGAAUUUUUGUUUUAUGUUUCUAACAGUUAGUGCUCUGAAAUUACCCUAUAAAUCAAACUCCAAAUCAUUUUUCAAGAUUGGUUUGAGUUAAAACCUAAUAUUUCUGAAUACUCCUGAGCCUUUACUUGCUUACCUGUAUAAAUUUAUACAUACUUGAGUUAUCACUUGCUUAUCUAUUAUAUAUUUUUGUGAGGAGUGUGUUCUUUGUAAGGUUCAUUUUAAUUUUUUAAUUGAGUGAUAGUAAGUGUGAGAAACACUUGGUGAAGAGAUAAAGAAUAUAUAUUUCGAAUUUAUAACAAUUCAAUGACACUUUUAGAAUCAAUUGUACUCAUUUUUUGAGCCUCGGGAUAUGUGGCUUAAUGUAAGUGGAAUUCUCAAGCUUGAAUUGUUUGAAGGCGGAGACGUAGACGGUUUGUCAAAUCAUGUAAAAAUUAUUAUGUUUCUUUUUUCUAUCCUUACCUCUUUAAUUUAUUUGUUGUGUUUGUUGUUGUUAGAUUGUGAUUUUUAUUAUUGGAAAAAUUUUUAAACCCAAUUCACCUACCAUCUUAGGUUGUUGUUAGGUAAAAUUUCAAUUACAAUAUUGUACUUACAUUAAAUAACUUUAUUUAACUGAUUAUUCAAGUUCCAAAAAAAUUGAUUUGAGCUUUACUUACCCCUCUACCUCUUUAAAAAUUAAAUAAAUAAGUUAUGAACAAGUUGUAAUCUAAACUACAUAUAAAAAAUAUUUAUAGGUAUUAUUCGAAUGGUUAAGGCAGGUGCCAGGUUGUACGUGUACCCCUUGAUUUGUUAGCCAAAAUCAUAUGGCUGAAAUGUGUUGUGUUGGUGAUAAUCUGCUGAAUAUUCUUUCAAAUUAAUAAUAUUUAUUGAUAGAUAAAUUAAAGAAAUUUAUUUGUGAAAAUCCCUCUAAAAAAAUUAUUUUGCUUAGUCCGACGAAGUUGUUCUGUAAUUAUAAGUUAUAUACUCUCUUUCACUUUAUUUAGAAGUAAACACAAAUUAAGAAUUAGGACUCUCUCCUAAACUGAUAUUUUUUUGAGCAAAUUUUAUUAACAUGAUUGGUAGUUAAUAAAUUAAAAAGUAAAUAUUGUUAAAUUCUAAUCACACACUUACACUAAAAUACAAAUAGUACAAAAUUUGUAAAAAAUUAGAAGAGAAUUGUAGUCCCACAAAUUAAAAGAGCCUAAUGCAUUAGUCUAUGUGAAGAAUCAAUCAUUUUAGGGGAAAAAACAAAAAACCAAAAAGGAAUGAGAAAAGUUUCGGUCAAAGCUUUUAAUAUUCUCUCUUAACUACCCUGCUUUGCAAGAGGGAAAAAAAAUGGGAAGAGAGAAAAUAACUAUGAGAUGGGAAAAAAAUUAUUAACGAAAGAGUUAUUAGUUAUUACACUUUAAAUAGAAAGCCAGCUAGCAUAGUGCCGAUGCAUAGACUAGAUGAGGCCAAAUGUUGGCCAUUUUGGAGUUCUUGUUGUCACGGACCGCUCAAAUUUGCCACUAAUGGAGGCUAAUUCCGCACGCAUGAGUACACUUAGCAAAAGUCCGCCUAAAAGUGGAGUGCACUUAGAAGCGUGGUGUGCUUAGCACAAAAGGCAGGAUGCACUUAGAAGUGGGAUGCGCUUAGAAAUGGACCGCCAACACAACUAGCCAACUGUGAUGCACUUAACGAUCAUCCAAGCUCAGCUCGAAUUUUAGAUUUAUAUUCUACACACUCAACGAUCGAAAGGCUUACUUAACGACUCAUGUGCUAUAAGUCGUCUAAGUGCCGCACAAGUUUGUUGUGCAAAACUCUCAUCCCGUGACAUUAUGGUCGGAUAUUAGAGAGCUAGUUUUUUAUGAGUGCAACACAGAACCUUGGUGCUUAUAUAUUGAUAUAUUCAAAUAAAGAAUCUUUUAUGAUUUAGGAUUAAUUUGGUAAUGUUGUAAUUUUUAAAAUAAUUAUUGUUAGUUGUACUAUAGAAAUAAUCAAUUGUUGAAAAAAAUUAGUUAAGUAUUUAGUAAAAUUUAUUUUUUAGAAGUGCUUUAAGUUUUAAAAGUAAUAGUAUGUGUUUGGUAAAUCUUACCGUUAAACUACUGUAAGAGUACAAAUGAAUAAAAUAAAUAUAAUGUUUAAUAAAAAAUUUUUUACAUAUAUAAUUUUUUGUUGUAUAUAUACAAUAAUUGAUAACUAAAAUAAUUUUUUUGUUAAUUUAUUUUUUUAUUUUUUAUAUCAAUAUAAUUGGUGAUAAUAUUCUCUUUAAAAUUAAUAAUUUUAUUUUCCAAUUGAGUAAGGAUAUUUUGGAAUUUUUUAAUAUAUGUAAGGAUAUAUAUGGAAUUUUAUUUAUCAUAAAAUUGAUUCUUAAAAUCAAAAUUUGAAAAGCUACUUUUUUUCCUACUUUUCAAAAUUUGCUAUAAAUGAAUGAUUUUGCCAAAAAUAAUUUUUUUAAAAAUUACCUACUACCGAAAUUACCGUUUAACUUUUUAAAAUUACUUUUAAACCUUUGAAAAGCAAUCCCAAAUGAGCCCCUAAUAUUUUUCUACGAAUAAAUACUUACUGUACCCACUAUUAAAAUUUAAAAAUUAAAUUUAUACUCUACACACUCAACUGAAUACUAAAGCUAAACUUUUAAACCGAUUCCCUAUGUUAAUAAAAAAAUUUAAACAAACUCAUUUAGCUAAUUACAACCCCAUAAUGAAUAAGUAAAUCAUAACUAUACACGGUUAAAAAUGUACAUAUGUCAAAAGAUCUUUCAAACUUUAAAUUAGCUAUCACAAGAAGACUGUUAUUCAAUGUUUUCGAACUUUAUACUCAUUUUUAUAAUUACUAAUUUGUACAAUUAAUUAAUUAUAUCAUUUUUUUUCAUUUUUUUUAUUAAUUCAUAUCUCUUUGCCAUGUUUAAUCUAAGAUUGCAUGAAUAAUAUAUAACUAAGCUAUGUUUAUUUUAACAUUUUAAGGCAUAAGUAUGGAAGUACCCAAAAAAAUAUUUUAAAUUCAAUAAUUUGUUAUUUUAAUUUUAUACCAAAUUAUUUCUAAAUGAUUUAUUGGUAAUUAAUACGUUAUUAGUAUGAAUACCAACUUUUAAUUAAUCUAACAAAAUGUCAUUGGGUUAUUAUGUCAAUCUCAUGGAAUUUAUCAUACUCUCAAACUUCUAUCAUUUACGCAGGGAUAUAGGUCAUAAACUAAGAAAUAGUCUUUAGUACAAUACUAUCGAUCCAUUCUCUGUUCGCUGUGUAUGAGUGAAUAUUAUCAUGAUUGGUUGAAGUAUACAAGUGACCAUGAGUGAAUGAAAAAGGAGCAACAAUCUUGGAAUACCCAAGACUUUUGCCAUAAAUAUUCCUAAAUUUAUUAUUUUGACAUAAUAACGAUUUUUUUUUUUAAUUUGAUCAUUUUAUGUUAUAAGGGUAAAUAGUCAAAUUGAAUCUACAUUAAGACAAAUUUAGUGAUAGGAUAUGGUCCAUAUUUUAUGUACCAUGUAUGCUCCCUAUUUUAUGUAAAUUCAUUAUUAGAAUUAGUUCCCUCUGGAUAAACAAUUAGGCGCCAGCAAUUUUCUUUCAAGUACUUUCAAGUACUUUAUUCUCUGUUUGUUGUGUAUGAGUGAAUAUUAUCAUGACUGGUUGAAGUAUACAAGUGACCAUAAGUGAAUGAAAAAAGGAGCAACAAUCUUGGAAUACCCAAGACUUUUUCCAUACAUAUUCCUAAAUUAAUUAUUUUGACAUAGUAACGAUUUUUUUUUUUCAAUUUGAUCAUUUUAUGUUAUAAGGGUAAAUAGUCAAAUUGAAUCUACAUUAAGACAAAUUUAGUGAUAGGAUAUGGUCCAUAUUUUAUGUACCAUGUAUGCUCCCUAUUUUAUGUAAAUUUGUUAUUGGAAUUAGUUCCCUCUGGAUAAACAAUUAGGCACCGGCAAUUUUCUUUCAAAUACUUUCAAGUACUUUAUUCUCUGUUUGCUGUGUAUGAGUGAAUAUUAUCAUGAUUGGUUGAAGUAUACAAGUGACCAUGAGUAAAUGGAAAAGGAGCAACAAUCUUGGAAUACCCAAGACUUUUUCUAUGCAUAUUCCUAAAUUAAUAAUUUUGACAUAGUAACGAUUUUUUUUUAUUUGAUCAUUUUAUGUUAUAAGGGUAAAUAGUCAAAUUGAAUCUACAUUAAAACAAAUUUAGUGAUAGGAUAUGGUCCAUAUUUUAUGUAACUUGUAUGCUCCCUAUUUUAUGUAAAUUUGUUAGUAGAAUUAGUUCCCUCCGGAUAAACAAUUAGGCGCCAGCAUUUUUCUUUCAAGUACUUUAUAAUCCAUGCAUACAUGAAUUCUUUUAUUUACUUCAAAAUAUUGAUAACUCGAACAAACGUGGAGGAACGAAUAAUGUACAAACACAGAGACAUACUAAUAUGGUCGAUUGAAGUAUGACAGUAAGAGAAAAUUAAAACAAAAUAACAAAACAAAAGGCAAAUAAUCACUAAGAACUGUAAAGCAUCCAUAUUGCAUGCCUUCGUUACUGAUAUAUAAGCCUUAUUUGAGAAACGAAACUGUUGCGGCUUUAUACUUUCAUAACCUGCAAACCAAGGGGUUAAAAAAAAGAUAAC